rnacentral:tRNA from 1 species
AGGGGCGUAGUCUAGUUGGAUAGGGCGCUGGCUUGCGGAGCCAGAACUCGAGAGUUCAAAUCUCCCCGUCCCUGCCA